rnacentral:rRNA from 1 species
GACGAACGCUGGCGGCGUGCCUAACACAUGCAAGUCGAACGGAGAUGUUUAUUUCGGUAGAUAUCUUAGUGGCGCACGGUGAGUAACGCGUGAAUAACCUGACCCGAAGAGGGGGAUAACACCUGGAAACAAGUGCUAAUACCGCAUAAGACCACAGACCGGCAUCGGUCAGAGGUCAAAGGAGAAAUCCGCUUUGGGAGGGGUUCGCGUCCCAUUAGGUAGUUGGUGAGGUAACGGCCCACCAAGCCGACGAUGGGUAGCCGAGCUGAGAGGCUGAUCGGCCACACUGGAACUGAGACACGGUCCAGACUCCUACGGGAGGCAGCAGUGGGGAAUAUUGGGCAAUGGGCGCAAGCCUGACCCAGCAACGCCGCGUGAGGGAAGAAGGUUUUCGGAUUGUAAACCUCUGUCGUAGGGGACGAAGGAAGUGACGGUACCCUGUAAGAAAGCCCCGGCUAACUACGUGCCAGCAG